CCCAGGGCGGCGCUUCGCUUGCCCUGGGCUAUGUUCUCACGCCCUUUCAGGGCU
rfam:Candidate division BRC1 bacterium SM23_51 WORSMTZ_23087, whole genome shotgun sequence.